rnacentral:rRNA from 1 species
UGGGGAAUAUUGCACAAUGGGCGCAAGCCUGAUGCAGCCAUGCCGCGUGUGUGAAGAAGGCCUUCGGGUUGUAAAGCACUUUCAGCGGGGAGGAAGGCGAUAAGGUUAAUAACCUUGGCGAUUGACGUUACCCGCAGAAGAAGCACCGGCUAACUCCGUGCCAGCAGCCGCGGUAAUACGGAGGGUGCAAGCGUUAAUCGGAAUUACUGGGCGUAAAGCGCACGCAGGCGGUUUGUUAAGUCAGAUGUGAAAUCCCCGGGCUCAACCUGGGAACUGCAUCUGAUACUGGCAAGCUUGAGUCUCGUAGAGGGGGGUAGAAUUCCAGGUGUAGCGGUGAAAUGCGUAGAGAUCUGGAGGAAUACCGGUGGCGAAGGCGGCCCCCUGGACGAAGACUGACGCUCAGGUGCGAAAGCGUGGGGAGCAAACAGG